rnacentral:rRNA from 1 species
GAACUUAAGCAUAUCAACAAGCGGAGGAAAAGAAACCAACAGGGAUUGCCCCAGUAACGGCGAGUGAAGCGGCAACAGCUCAAAUUUGAAAUCUGGCCUUAUGCCCGAGUUGUAAUUUGUAGAGGAUGCUUUUGGCGACGCGCCUUCCGAGUUCCCUGGAACGGGACGCCAUAGAGGGUGAGAGCCCCGUCCGGUCGUGCGCCUAGCCUCUGUAAAGCUCCUUCGACGAGUCGAGUAGUUUGGGAAUGCUGCUCUAAAUGGGAGGUAUACGUCUUCUAAAGCUAAAUACCGGCCAGAGACCGAUAGCGCACAAGUAGAGUGAUCGAAAGAUGAAAAGCACUUUGAAAAGAGGGUUAAAUAGUACGUGAAAUUGCUGAAAGGGAAGCGCUUAUGACCAGACUUGGGCGCGGCGGAUCAUCCGGCGUUCUCGCCGGUGCACUCCACCGCCCCAGGCCAGCAUCAGUUCGCGCCGGGGGAUAAAGGCUUCGGGAAUGUGGCUCCUCCGGGAGUGUUAUAGCCCGUUGUGUAAUACCCUGGUGCGGACUGAGGUCCGCGCUCUGCAAGGAUGCUGGCGUAAUGGUCAUCAGUGACCCGUCUUGAAACACGGACCAAGGAGUCGUCUUCGUAUGCGAGUGUUCGGGUGUCAAACCCCUACGCGGAAUGAAAGUGAACGUAGGAGAGAGCUUCGGCGCAUCUCCGACCGAUCCUGAUGUUCUCGGAUGGAUUUGAGUAAGAGCAUACGGGGCCGGACCCGAAA